UUAUCUUAGGCUAAUUAAGUGCCAGCAGCUGCGGUUAUACUUGUUAAGAAAUCGAAAUGAAUGUUUUGCAAUAGAAGAAAAAAAAUUUUUUCGCAGUUGUGAGUUUAAAUAUUUUUUUAUCUUCAUAGAAUGCGAAAAUUUUUAAUAAACCGGGGUUAGACGCCUGUUAUAAAAAUUAUAAAUAAAAUAAAGUAUUAGUAAAUUAAUUUUUAAACUUAAAAAAGUUGGCAGCAUCUUAGUCCAAACAAAGGAGCUUGGGGUUUAAUUAGAUACUCCUCUUUUUACCUUAUUUAAUUUUUUUUUGUGUGUGGCUGUAUAAACGAGUCUUUUGAGAUGAUUUUUAAUUCAGGUGACAUGCAAAUAUAAUUAAAUACCACCUUAGCUACUGUAAUUAAAUUAGUUUUAAUUUAAAGAUAUAAUAGGAUUUGUUUGUAAAGUCAUUUUAUUAAAGUGUCUUGAAUGGGUUAUAAGUUGUGUUCAUAUUGUCCGUCACUCUCUUUUGUGAGAUAAGUCGUAGCAAAGUAAGGGUUUUAGAAAAAGCUCUUA
rnacentral:rRNA from 1 species